rnacentral:rRNA from 1 species
GACGAACGCUGGCGGCGUGCCUAAUACAUGCAAGUAGGACGCACAGUUUAUACCGUAGCUUGCUACACCAUAGACUGUGAGUUGCGAACGGGUGAGUAACGCGUAGGUAACCUGCCUGGUAGCGGGGGAUAACUAUUGGAAACGAUAGCUAAUACCGCAUAAUAUUAAUUAUUGCAUGAUAAUUAAUUGAAAGGUGCAAUUGCACCACUACCAGAUGGACCUGCGUUGUAUUAGCUAGUAGGUGAGGUAACGGCUCACCUAGGCGACGAUACAUAGCCGACCUGAGAGGGUGAUCGGCCACACUGGGACUGAGACACGGCCCAGACUCCUACGGGAGGCAGCAGUAGGGAAUCUUCGGCAAUGGACGAAAGUCUGACCGAGCAACGCCGCGUGAGUGAAGAAGGUUUUCGGAUCGUAAAGCUCUGUUGUAAGAGAAGAAUGGGUGUGAGAGUGGAAAGUUCACACUGUGACGGUAUCUUACCAGAAAGGGACGGCUAACUACGUG